AGGGCGCACGGUGGAUGCCUUGGCACUAGAAGCCGAUGAAGGACGUGACUAACGACGAAAUGCUUUGGGGAGCUGUAAGUGAGCAAUGAUCCAGAGAUGUCCGAAUGGGGGAACCCGGCAGGUAAUGCCUGUCACUCAUUACUGUUAAGGUAAUGUAGAGGAAGACGCAGUGAACUGAAACAUCUAAGUAGCUGUAGGAAGAGAAAGCAAAAGCGAUUGCCUUAGUAGCGGCGAGCGAAACGGCAAGAGGGCAAACCGAAGAGUUUACUCUUCGGGGUUGUAGGACUGCAACGUGGACUUAAAGAUUAUAGAAGAACUACCUGGGAAGGUAGGCCAAAGAGAGUAAUAGCCUCGUAUUCGAAAUAGUCUUUAUACCUAGCAGUAUCCUGAGUACGGCGAGACACGAGAAAUCUCGUCGGAAUCUGGGAGGACCAUCUCCCAACCCUAAAUACUCUCUAGUGACCGAUAGUGAACCAGUACCGUGAGGGAAAGGUGAAAAGCACCCCGGGAGGGGAGUGAAAUAGAACCUGAAACCGUGUGCCUACAACAAGUUCGAGCCCGUUAAUGGGUGAGAGCGUGCCUUUUGUAGAAUGAACCGGCGAGUUACGAUAUGAUGCGAGGUUAAGUUGAAGAGACGGAGCCGUAGGGAAACCGAGUCUUAAUAGGGCGCAUUAGUAUCAUGUCGUAGACCCGAAACCAUGUGACCUACCCAUGAGCAGGUUGAAGGUGAGGUAAAACUCACUGGAGGACCGAACCAGGGCACGUUGAAAAGUGCUUGGAUGACUUGUGGGUAGCGGAGAAAUUCCAAACGAACUUGGAGAUAGCUGGUUCUCUCCGAAAUAGCUUUAGGGCUAGCGUCGAUGUUAAGUCUCUUGGAGGUAGAGCACUGUUUGGGUGAGGGGUCCAUCCCGGAUUACCAAUCUCAGAUAAACUCCGAAUGCCAAUGAGAUAUAAUCGGCAGUCAGACUGCGAGUGCUAAGAUCCGUAGUCGAAAGGGAAACAGCCCAGACCACCAGCUAAGGUCCCAAAAUAUAUGUUAAGUGGAAAAGGAUGUGGGGUUGCACAGACAACUAGGAUGUUAGCUUAGAAGCAGCUAUUCAUUCAAAGAGUGCGUAAUAGCUCACUAGUCGAGUGACCCUGCGCCGAAAAUGUACCGGGGCUAAAACAUAUUACCGAAGCUGUGGAUACCUUUAUAGGUAUGGUAGGAGAGCGUUCUAUGUGCGAAGAAGGUGUACCGUGAGGAGUGCUGGAGCGCAUAGAAGUGAGAAUGCCGGUAUGAGUAGCGAAAGACAGGUGAGAAUCCUGUCCACCGUAAGACUAAGGUUUCCAGGGGAAGGCUCGUCCGCCCUGGGUUAGUCGGGACCUAAGGAGAGACCGAAAGGUGUAUCCGAUGGACAACAGGUUGAUAUUCCUGUACUAGAGUAUAUAGUGAUGGAGGGACGCAGUAGGCUAACUAAACCAGACGAUUGGAAGUGUCUGGCCAAGCAGUGAGGUGUGAUAUGAGUCAAAUGCUUAUAUCUUUAACAUUGAGCUGUGAUGGGGAGCGAAGUUUAGUAGCGAAGUUAGUGAUGUCACACUGCCGAGAAAAGCUUCUAGCGUUAAUUAUACUCUACCCGUACCGCAAACCGACACAGGUAGUCGAGGCGAGUAGCCUCAGGUGAGCGAGAGAACUCUCGUUAAGGAACUCGGCAAAAUGGCCCCGUAACUUCGGGAGAAGGGGCGCUGACUGAUGGUCAGCCGCAGUGAAUAGGCCCAAGCAACUGUUUAUCAAAAACACAGCUCUCUGCUAAAUCGUAAGAUGAUGUAUAGGGGGUGACGCCUGCCCGGUGCUGGAAGGUUAAGAGGAGUGCUUAGCGUAAGCGAAGGCAUGAAUUGAAGCCCCAGUAAACGGCGGCCGUAACUAUAACGGUCCUAAGGUAGCGAAAUUCCUUGUCGGGUAAGUUCCGACCCGCACGAAAGGCGUAAUGAUUUGGGCACUGUCUCAACGAGAGACUCGGUGAAAUUUUAGUACCUGUGAAGAUGCAGGUUACCCGCGACAGGACGGAAAGACCCCAUGGAGCUUUACUGCAGUUUGAUAUUGAGUAUCUGUACCACAUGUACAGGAUAGGUAGGAGCCUAUGACCUCGGGACGCCAGUUUCGAGUGAGGCGUUGUUGGGAUACUACCCUUGUGUUAUGGCUACUCUAACCCAGAUAGGUUAUCCCUAUCGGAGACAGUGUCUGACGGGCAGUUUGACUGGGGCGGUCGCCUCCUAAAAGGUAACGGAGGCGCCCAAAGGUUCCCUCAGAAUGGUUGGAAAUCAUUCGCAGAGUGUAAAGGUAUAAGGGAGCUUGACUGCGAGAGCUA
rnacentral:rRNA from 1 species